rnacentral:rRNA from 1 species
AACGAACGCUGGCGGCAGGCUUAACACAUGCAAGUCGAACGCACCGCAAGGUGAGUGGCAGACGGGUGAGGAACACGUGGGAACAUUCCUUUCAGUUCGGAAUAACGUUGGGAAACUAACGCUAAUACCGGAUACGUCCUUCGGGAGAAAGAUUUAUCGCUGAAAGAUUGGCCCGCGUCUGAUUAGCUAGUUGGUGAGGUAACGGCUCACCAAGGCGACGAUCAGUAGCUGAUCUGAGAGGAUGAUCAGCCACAUUGGGACUGAGACACGGCCCAAACUCCUACGGGAGGCAGCAGUGGGGAAUAUUGGACAAUGGGCGCAAGCCUGAUCCAGCCAUGCCGCGUGAGUGAUGAAGGCCUUCGGGUUGUAAAGCUCUUUUGUCCGGGAAGAUAAUGACUGUACCGGAAGAAUAAGCCCCGGCAAACUUCGUGCCAGCCGCCGCCGUAAAAC